UGGUCAUUUCAAAGAGGGCUUGUUGGGUUUCCAAACCAAGAGCUCUUAACGCUGUGACCAAAGAUAGAAGUUCUCCAUAGGAUGCGAUAGUCACUCAAUAGUAGUGCUAUGUUUUCCAGAGGAGAUAUACUG
ensembl:snoRNA